GAUAACAUUAUGUGGGUCCUAGGGAAGAUAUUCAGCAUAUACCAGAUAACAUUAUGUGGGUCCUAGGGGGAACAUUCAGCAUAUACCUGAUAACAUUAUGUAGGUCCUAGGGAAGAUAUUCAGCAUAUACCUGAUAACAUUAUGUGGGUCCUAGGGAAGAUAUUCAGCAUAUACCUGAUAACAUUAUGUGGGUCCUAGGGAAGAUAUUCAGCAUAUACCUGAUAACAUUAUGUGGGUCCUAGGGAAGAUAUUCAGCAUAUACCUGAUAACAUUAUGUGGGUCCUAGGGAAGAUAUUCAGCAUAUACCUGAUAACAUUAUGUGGGUCCUAGGGAAGAUAUUCAGCAUAUACCCGAUAACAUUAUGUGGGUCCUAGGGAAGAUAUUCAGCAUAUACCCGAUAACAUUAUGUAGGUCCUAGAGGGGGAGGGGGAACAUUCAGCAUAUACCAGAUAACAUUAUGUGGGUCCUAGAGAAGAUAUUCAGCAUAUACCCGAUAACAUUAUGUGGGUCCUAGGGAAGAUAUUCAGCAUAUACCUGAUAACAUUAUUUUGCAUGACCUGCAUUCUCUUGUUCAGCUUUUUUGAUAGCCCACUAUACCAAGCAGCGCAGGCAUAUGCAAAAUUACACUGAAUCAAGGUUGAGACAAGCGGUUUCUUAACUUUGAUGUUAAAAUAUCUAGUGUUACGAUAGAAAUGUUAAUUUGUUUGCCAUUUUAGAAAGAAUUUUAAGCAGCAAUCAGGUCUUCAGAAAGGGAUUGAUCUCGGGACACGGAGACAAUGUGUUGAUCCAAUCUCCUUCCCCUUUAUCUUGUCAGCCCUAAGCAAUCUACGUUUUGUUCCAAACAAAAUCGAUUCAGUUUUUCACAAAUGUCGCGACAAUUUGUUGUCAGUCAAGCAAUCUCUAACAAAAUGCAAUUCCUGUCCGAUUGAAACAGUCAUUUUCUGUGCCCACUGCUGACACAUCAACUAUCUCAUCUCUAGAUUGCACCCAUCAUCCCUGCUUGUGUCCCGUAUCCCAAUGUUUGGCACCGCAUUUAAACGGCAUACAUUGGCAAACAAGCGAAAUGUGACUUUGAUACUUUACAGCUUCAUCAUACAACAAGGGGGUUAUUAUUGCCUAUUCUCCAUGGUUGGCCCUCUUGCCUAUUCUCCAUGGUUGGCCCUCUUGCCUAUUCUCCAUGGUUGGCCCUCUUGCCUAUUCUCCAUGGUUGGCCCUCUUGCCUAUUCUCCAUGGUUGGCCCUCUUGCCUAUUCUCCAUGGUUGGCCCUCUUGCCUAUUCUCCAUG